GGCGAACGCUGGCGGCGUGCCUAAUACAUGCAAGUCGAGCGGACUGACUGGGAGCUUGCUCUUGUUCGGUCAGCGGCGGACGGGUGAGUAACACGUGGGCAACCUGCCCGCAAGACCGGGAUAACUCCGGGAAACCGGAGCUAAUACCGGAUAACACCGAAGACCGCAUGGUCUUUGGUUGAAAGGCGGCGCAAGCUGCCACUUGCGGAUGGGCCCGCGGCGCAUUAGUUAGUUGGUGAGGUAACGGCUCACCAAGGCGACGAUGCGUAGCCGGCCUGAGAGGGUGACCGGCCACACUGGGACUGAGACACGGCCCAGACUCCUACGGGAGGCAGCAGUAGGGAAUCUUCCGCAAUGGGCGAAAGCCUGACGGAGCGACGCCGCGUGAGCGAAGAAGGCCUUCGGGUCGUAAAGCUCUGUUGUGAGGGACGAAGGAGCGCCGUUUGAAGAAGGCGGCGCGGUGACGGUACCUCACGAGGAAGCCCCGGCUAACUACGUG
rnacentral:rRNA from 1 species